rnacentral:rRNA from 1 species
UUGGGAGCUCUCCCAUAUGGUCGACCUGCAGGCGGCCGCGAAUUCACUAGUGAUUCGUAUUACCGCGGCUGCUGGCACAGAGUUAGCCGGUGCUUAUUCUGCGAGUAACGUCCACUAUCUCUAGGUAUUAACUAAAGUAGCCUCCUCCUCGCUUAAAGUGCUUUACAACCAUAAGGCCUUCUUCACACACGCGGCAUGGCUGGAUCAGGCUUGCGCCCAUUGUCCAAUAUUCCCCACUGCUGCCUCCCGUAGGAGUCUGGGCCGUGUCUCAGUCCCAGUGUGGCGGAUCAUCCUCUCAGACCCGCUACAGAUCGUCGCCUUGGUAGGCCUUUACCCCACCAACUAGCUAAUCCGACUUAGGCUCAUCUAUUAGCGCAAGGUCCGAAGAUCCCCUGCUUUCUCCCGUAGGACGUAUGCGGUAUUAGCAUUCCUUUCGAAAUGUUGUCCCCCACUAAUAGGCAGAUUCCUAAGCAUUACUCACCCGUCCGCCGCUAAGAUCGGUAGCAAGCUACCUCUCUCCGCUCGACUUGCAUGUGUUAAGCCUCCCCCCAGCGUUCAAUCUGAGCCAUGAUCAAACUCUAAUCGAAUUCCCGCGGCCGCCAUGGCGCCCGGGAGCAUGCGAC